rnacentral:rRNA from 1 species
UACGAAGGUCCCAAGCGUUGUUCGGAAUCACUGGGCGUAAAAGGUGCGUAGGCGGUUUGGUAAGUCAGAUGUGAAAUCCCGGGGCUCAACCCCGGAACUGCAUCCGAUACUGCCAGACUAGAGGACUGGAGAGGUGACUGGAAUUCUCGGUGUAGCAGUGAAAUGCGUGGAGAUCGAGAGGAACACUCGUGGCGUAAGCGAGUCACUCGACAGUAUCUGACGCUGAGGCACGAAGGCCAGGGUAGCGAAAGGG